rnacentral:snRNA from 1 species
GCUCAUUUCUGCAGCGCAUAUACGACAAACAGAACGGUACAGAGAAGAUCAGCAUGGCCCCUGUGCAAGGAUGAGACCCAUAUUCAUGAUGCAGUCCCUAUUUUU